AGGACACAGCAGCAUGACCAUUUCAACAAGGAUGUAAUACCACUCUCUAAUCAAUCAUGGGGACCAGUUUGCAAACAAGGUCCAAAAUCGUGGUUACACAAGCAGGGACACAUCCUCAGUGCCUUUGAAUUCCAGAAGGACUGGGACCACCAGACUGUUUUAGAACGCAUCAGGGAUGGCUUUGGUGAGCACAUUGCGGACGAUGUCAGCCUUCAGUUUCUCAUGGCUUGUAGCAAUAAGCUGGUGUUCCCAAAGCUCCAGGUUGGUCAGGAGCUGACUGGGAUGCUAAUUCACAAGGUCAUUAAAACCCAAACCUGAAUGUGAGACCAUCAAGGAUCUUUUUAACUGACUCCGAAGAAGAAAGACUGUUCUCCCAUUACUACCAGAACAUUAAGCAUGAGUGACACUAAGGGCAGUGAUGAUGAUUGCGUUGAAGUUGAUGGUCCUCAGAAUCCCACAGACAUGAGCAGUAAUGGCACCACCAGGGCUGCUACCAGGUUUAGAGUAAUGAGGAGUAAUGAGUAUCCCAGUACUAGCAGUCAUGGUGGAAAUGGCAAACCUGGCACUAGUACUGGUCAUAAAGACAGUUUUUUUUGGCUCCAAUCACACUGUCAACAGUAGUGGUCAUGAUAGAGACUGCCUUGCAAGAGAUGAUGGAAACCUUGGCACCAGUGGUACCACAACUGCUCAGGGUGGAGACUACGCUUCAUACUUAACACU